AUUCCAGCUCCAAUAGCGUAUAUUAAAGUUGUUGCGGUUAAAAAGCUCGUAGUUGGACUUCUGGCAGGGCGCCGCGUGCCACAGUAGUGCGCACAAGGGCCCGGCCAUCCUUCUGUAAACGUCGGGGAAGUUUAUUCGUCCGCGGCGGGAUCAGUUAAUUUACCUUGAGAAAAUUAGAGUGUUUCAGGCAGGCGUAGCCGGAAUACAUUAGCAUGGAAUAAUGGAAUAGGACUUAGUCUCUUUGUUGGUUCGAGGGACUGGAGUAAUGAUUAAUAGGGAUAGUUGGGGGCAUUAGUAUUUAUUAGCUAGAGGUGGAAUUCUCUAAUUUGAUAAAGACUAACUUAUGCGAAAGCAUUUGCCAAGGAUGUUUUCAUUG
rnacentral:rRNA from 1 species